rnacentral:rRNA from 1 species
AGGAGGAGCUUGCGUCCCAUUAGCUUGUUGGCGGGGUAAUGGCCCACCAAGGCAAUGAUGGGUAGCCGGCCUGAGAGGGUGUACGGCCACACUGGCACUGAGAUACGGGCCAGACUCCUACGGGAGGCAGCAGUGGGGAAUAUUGGGCAAUGGGCGAAAGCCUGACCCAGCAAUGCCGUGUGAGCGAUGAAGUUCUUCGGAAUGUAAAGCUCUUUUAUGAGGAAAGAAAGCUUGCGGGGUAAUAUCCUGCCUGCUUGACGGUACCUCAUGAAUAAGCCCCGGCUAACUCCGUGCCAGCAGCCGCGGUAAUACGGAGGGGGCGAGCGUUGUUCGGAAUCACUGGGCGUAAAGGGCGCGUAGGCGGUCAUGUAUGUCAGGUGUGAAAUCCCUAGGCUUAACUUAGGAAUUGCGCUUGAAACUGCAUGGCUAGAGGCUGGGAGAGGAAAGUGGAAUUCCUGGUGUAGCGGUGAAAUGCGUAGAUAUCAGGAGGAACACCGGUGGCGAAAGCGGCUUUCUGGACCAGUUCUGACGCUGAGGCGCGAAAGCGUGGGGAGCAAACGGGAUUAGAUACCCCGGUAGUCCACGCUGUAAACGAUGAGCACUAGGUGUAGCGGGUAUCGACCCCUGCUGUGCCGCAGUUAACGCAUUAA